GACGAACCGUGCGAACGUUGCUCGGAAUUACUGGGCGUAAAGGGUUCGUAGGCGGUGCGGCAAGUUGGGAGUGAAAUCUCUGGGCUUAACCCAGAGGCUGCUUUCAAAACUGCCGUGCUCGAGUGCGAGAGAGGUCAGUGGAAUUGCAGGUGUAGCGGUGAAAUGCGUAGAUAUCUGCAGGAACACCCGUGGCGAAGGCGGCUGACUGGAUCGCAACUGACGCUGAGGAACGAAAGCUAGGGGAGCAAACAGG
rnacentral:rRNA from 1 species